UACGUAGGGGGCGAGCGUUGUCCGGAAUCAUUGGGCGUAAAGAGCGUGUAGGCGGUUUGGUAGGUCUCGCGUUAAAUCCCGCAGCUCAACUGCGGACGUGCGCGGGAAACCACCUCACUAGAGUCCGGAAGAGGAGAGUGGAAUUCCAGGUGUAGCGGUGAAAUGCGUAGAUAUCGAGAGGAACACCUGCGGCGAAGGCGGGUUGCUGGGCUGACACUGACGCUGAACUGCGAAAGCUAGGGGAGCGAACGGG
rnacentral:rRNA from 1 species